rnacentral:rRNA from 1 species
UACGUAGGGUGCGAGCGUUAAUCGGAAUUACUGGGCGUAAAGCGUGCGCAGGCGGUUUUGUAAGCCAGAUGUGAAAUCCCCGGGCUUAACCUGGGAAUGGCAUUUGGGACUGCAAGGCCGGAGUGCGGCAGAGGAGACUGGAAUUCCUGGUGUAGCAGUGAAAUGCGUAGAUAUCAGGAGGAACACCGAUGGCGAAGGCAGGUCUCUGGGCUGACACUGACGCUCAUGCACGAAAGCGUGGGGAGCAAACAGG